GGGGCGCCUCCUUCUCCCAACCUCUCUCUCUCGGUCUUCUCUCUGCCUGCGGUCUUGGCGUCGCCGGUGAGCGACGCCGGCCGCGUCCCUCCUCUCUCCUCUUUCUCUAUCUCGGUCUCUCUCUCUCCCUCGGUCUCUCUCUCUCGGCCUCUCUCUCUCGGUCUCUCUCUCUCGGUCUCUCUCUCUCGGUCUCUCUCUCCCUCGGCCACGAACCACCACCUCCGCCGUCGCCGCCGGGCCGCUGCUGCCGUCGCUGGUGGGCCGCUGCCGCCGUCGCCGCUGGGUACACGGCGGUCUCACCGCCGUUGACCGAGAGAUUUGGAUAGAUCGUGAAAACGGGGUCAAAAGAGAUAAAUUUCGUUGUGGAAAAUCGGACAGCCGCCGGAAUGCUGCCGGAAAGUUGCCGGACUGCCGUCGCCGCCGGCGGGCCACUGCCGGGCAGCAUCUCCGGGGUCCGGCAGCUCCUUCACUCACGAGGUAUCGGGAUUCAAGGCGUGACUAUUGAGCAAGAUCCGAAGGGCAUGGACAGUAUUUUAUUUUUAAAUUAAUCUUUACUUAAACGUUGAACUCGUGUACGGACUUUUAUUUGAAACUCGGUCUUCACAAACGGACUUUUAUU